GGACUACUGGGGUAUCUAAUCCCGUUUGCUCCCCUGGCCUUCGCGCCUCAGCGUCAGGAACUGUCCAGAGAUCCGCCUUCGCCACUGGUCUUCCUCACGAUAUCUACGCAUUUCACUGCUACACCGUGAAUUCCAAUCUCCUCUCCAGUCCUCUAGCAGAGCAGUAUCGAGUGCAGUUUCAGAGUUGAGCUCUGAGAUUUCACACCCGACUUACCCCGCAGCCUACGCGCCCUUUACGCCCAAUGAAUCCGAACAACGCUUGAGACCUCUGUAUUACCGCGGCUGCUGGCAC
rnacentral:rRNA from 1 species